AGUGAACAAUUAAACGGCCGCGGUACCCUAACCGUGCAAAGGUAGCGCAAUCAUUUGUCUACUAAUUAUAGACUAGUAUGAAAGGCAAAAUGAGGACUUAACUGUCUCUUAUAGUAUAUCAAUUAAACUGAUCUGCCAGUAAAAAAGCUGGAAUAUCCUCAUAAGACCAGAAGACCCUGUGAAGCUUUAACUAAACUAUUAAAUUUAAUAAUAGCUACUUUCGGUUGGGGCGACCUUGGAAAAAAAAGAACUUCCAAACACAACAAUUAUAACUUUCAUCACCCAGGCCAACAAGCCACAGUACGACCCAGCACAGCUGACAAUUGAAAUAAGUUACUCCAGGGAUAACAGCGCCAUCUUCUUCAAGAGUCCAUAUCAAAAAGAAGGUUUACGACCUCGAUGUUGGAUCAGGACAUCCUAA
rnacentral:rRNA from 1 species